CAGCCGCCACGGGAAUACGUAGGUGGCAAGCGUUGUCCGGAAUUAUUGGGCGUAAAGAGCUCGCAGGCGGUUUCUUAAGUCUGAUGUGAAAGCCCCCGGCUCAACCGGGGAGGGUCAUUGGAAACUGGGAAACUUGAGUGCAGAAGAGGAGAGUGGAAUUCCACGUGUAGCGGUGAAAUGCGUAGAGAUGUGGAGGAACACCAGUGGCGAAGGCGACUCUCUGGUCUGUAACUGACGCUGAGGAGCGAAAGCGUGGGGAGCGAACAGGAUUAGAUACCCCCGUAGUCCCUGUCUCUUAUAC
rnacentral:rRNA from 1 species